rnacentral:lncRNA from 1 species
CCGGAUUGACCGGAGGAGAGUUGUCCGAUUUACCUAGUUUCAGAAGAAGCUAGAGGUUCAAAGAAUAUUGACAGAUCCAUUGAGGCGGAAGAGAAGACAGAAAGAAAAGAGCUCAAAUUAAGCUACGUAGGACCAGGACGGACGGACUAUCCACUGAAAGUAUAAAAUCAGUGAAUAAAGGCUCCCCAUUUUUUCUUACCGGAGGGGAUCGUAUUUCUCUUGCUCUCGUUGCAGCAUUGCUUCUAUGAGUUGCUGGAGCCCACUACGCGGUCAGCUAGAUCUCUUGGCGAAGGCUGAAUGAAAUGAAUUAGAGAAAUCAAGCCUUUGUCCCCAUUUACACCCCUUUCCCCCCGAGCGGAUACUCUAUGUACGUACUCUCAGGAAGACUGUCCCCCGGUCCUGGGUUGGGUUAUUUCGGGUUUAGCGUGCACAGUUUGCAUGCAGGAUGAAAGCGACUCAAAAGAAGAUAAGAUAUUGACUAGCCUCCAUAAAAGACAAGAAGAAAGAAAGCAAAGAAACCUAUCCAGAUCCUUCUUAUAGAAGUCCCGAUCCAAGCAAAGAGGAUUUUGAGUGGUCCGGAGUGCCAAAGAAAGGUCCAGGGUCCGGAGUCCUACGUCCUACGUCCGCAGGGCCAAAGAAAGGUCCAGGUGAUUUAUCCGUAGGACCAUCCGUAAUUAACCGAAGGAGGACCAUCCAUAUGGAAGGAAGGACUCUAAAACGGAGGAUUUAUCCGUAGGACCAUCCGUAAUUAACCGAAGUAGGACCAUCCGUAAUUAACCGAAGGACUCUAAAACGGAGGCGCAAAGAAUAUUGCGAGACACCUGUGGAAUCAAAAAUCAGUCCUCUCAACAACGCAAUAUGAAAAGCGCUGCGCUGCACUAUUAUAAGUAUAAGGCUCAAAGAAUUUGAGAAGAAGCGCAUUUAUCUAAGAAAAGAAGAAAGGAGUGCAAGGCUGAAAGAUUAAACUACCGCACCGUGGGGGAGUCAGAAACCGCAUCUUUGCAAAUGAAGAGCGGUCAGGCUUUUCCUUCGUUUCACUCUCCGAAGUGGCGUGGCACAAAGCCCAAUGUUCAAAGAAAUAUCCUAGGGUGAAAAAAGAACCUUCAUUCAAACUCAUCGCUGCUUUUGAACUUAAAGGAUCAGUCUAGGGAACGUAAUUUCAUAGCACAUGAAAAAGCGAAGCUCGAGACAAAAGAUCCUAACGAGAUUCUAUUCGGAAUUCUUAUAUGUCGAGACGGUAUCAGACAGAGCAAUCUGAUCAAAUUCAUUCAAUGAUCUCGAGACGUCAUCCCUCUGAGCGCUAAAGCUAAAGCAGCCUGGUGAAUGAUAGGAGGGCGGUCUUGAUUUGUAUUAUUAUGGUGUGUUCUAUCCGAGGGGGGGUCUUCGUUUAGUCUAUUGGUAUGGUAUUCUCUCUUUCAUUCAUUUUUGGGCGGAAGGUAUUCUCAUGUGGGUGCGUACUGCUUCUUUUCCUGCUACACCCGGAAUACUGUCAGUUCCAAACCUCCUGUGAGUGACUAUAAACGAUUAUGUCAUCGAGUGGUCAAGGUAAGAGUUUUUUUUAUCCAUUGUUGUGCGGAAGAAGACCAGAAUUAGGACGAUAUUCAUCGAUCAGUUACUCUUUGUCUACGUUAUGGAGUCUCCACUCCAUGUUGAAAGCUCUUUCAAAUAGCAUGAGCGUUGAAAGUAUGAAAUUAGACGUUAGCCUUAGAUUCUUUUUUUGACUUCUUGAGAAGACUGCUUUCCUUUGAAAGAGCUGUGGGCAUAGCUAAACUUUCUCAAAUGCGGGAUCGGGAUUUCUUUCCUCUUGAUGCGGUAGAAGAGGUCUAGUCUAGGUCAUUUCUUUUGCUAGAGAAUAUGUUGGCAAUGAUCCUUUUAUGGGAAGGGAAUCGCUAAGACCAAUCAUUCCCUAGUCUCGCCUAUAUCCUAUUGCUAUUAUAGCUGGGAUCUUCCCUAGCGGUAGAAGAGGUAAUAUCAUAUAAGUCUAGUCUCAAAUCAUUCCUUUAGUUCCAUUCGCUCCUAAAGCUGCAACUCUUCUUUUAACGUGGGGUGGGCAUAAGAGUAACUAGCUUGCUUCUACUUCUUCCAAAGAUUACCCGGAUACCCAAGUAGCAUAUCCCUCCGUAAUAUCUCUUAUAGAGUCUCAAUAAGUGAGAAGUUCCUCCCUUUUCAUACUGUCAAAUACAGGAUCAGAAUUCAAAAGGAUACCGCUUUCGACUUUCCUGUCUUACCUUUUCACAUAAGUUCCAUUCCAAUGUAUGCAAUCUAGAACAUCGUACAGGAUCAUCGCAUAGACGGACUACUUUGCUUGCUUUUUCCUUUACUGAAUAAGUGUAACUGCGGAAGACUUUGCUCUAUGUAGGAAAGUACUAGAGUGGAGUGCCCUGCCCACCUGAAAGAUCUCCUUCAGGGCUUGGACAAGAUUUGGAUCUGUCUUCUAUCUGGUACACAAGAAACUAAGCCAAUCCCUUUUGGAGCUACCUCUGAAUCCGCAAUGAGAAUGCCAAUGAAUUUUGAAUAGGUAAGUCAAUCUUCGCCGAAGCUAACAUCAUCUUUAUCACGACGAGCUGGGAUCGAAGGGAAAAAUAGUGGCUCGACUUUAUUUACGAGAAAGAGGAGGUAACCAGCUUUUGAAGGACCGAAUAGGGAGAGGUACUUGGGUACUAAAGAGAUUGAAUUGAACCUUUAGCUUUAGCAGAGAUCAGGGAUUCCCAAUAAGCAGAUAGUUCAGUUCGAAGGGAAAGAAAGAAGUCAUAGUUAGGCGAGGUUACCAGAUGCUAACUAAACUUCAGACUAAGCAGCAGACGCAAAGUCAGCACUCGAUCGACCUUAACCGCCAUAAGCAUACCCCAGAUUUCAGGGAAUAGGAAAUUGGGUACUCGACAGAAGAGAAGGUCGGGAAGAGUUUCCUAAGUGAAGGAAGACGGAGCGGGAAAGUCAAUGAACAGGGGAGCGAACUAGUCGAUCGACUAAGGCCGUUGCAGGUGGCUUGAGAAUGAGGCUAGGUCCCUUUUCCCGACAACAGAUCUCCGAUCUGACUUUCUCAAGUCAUACGUCUUUUGUUCAGCCAACAGUCUUCCACUCUACUUAUUAUGACUUACUAGCGCCCUUCACUUCAAGUCAUACGCCUUUUGUUCAGCUUAUUUCCAAAUCAAAGCUACUUGCUUAUAAGAGAAGAGCAAGGUGCGUAGCUUACUUGGUAAAGGACUCCCUAUAGUUGCGGAAUAUGCUUUUUGCCGCUAGUAAUUAAGCGUCUUUCCCUACGCUAAGCUUCCUCUCCUUGUGCGGAGCUUCCCUUCUUUCGCUAACUCGCUCUUCUGGGCAAGACGUUGUGACUUCAUUCCUACCCCCUAUAGUAUAAGAAAAGAAAAAAUGCAUUUCUUAACAGCACGGUACUCGGCUUCUUCUUUCUGGAUCAAGUCCCAGGUCAGAUCUGAGAGCGAAAGCUGUAGGUAGGGUUGGAGACCGACGAGGCUGGAGCUGUUCUCGAUCCGGCCAUGCAAUAAAUGAUACAUUUUCCGCCGAUGGUCGUGGGCUGUCUUGUUAAUAGCUCAUGAAGUAGAGCCAGAAUUCAGGGGUGAUGAUCCGCCCACACAAUUGGUAGUAUGAGAGGCUGCCACUUGGGGCCUAUAGAUUCCAUAUCCAAAGGCAACUCAGAAUGGCUAGGAAGGAAGAAAGCAUAGAAUGAAGAUUUCAAGAAGAUCUCUGUCAAGCCGAUGUUGAAGGGGCGAAGCAGCUUUACCGAGUUGACGAGGUGCAAAGAAUAUUGCGUUGACAGGUCCGAAGGCUAGGCGCAAAGUUCGGUUAAUUACGGAAAGUCCUACUUCCUUCUAAUGGAUAGUCCUCCUUCGGUUAAUUACGGAUGGUCCUACUUCCAUAUGGAUAGUCCUACGGAUAAGAAUCCUGCGGACUCCGGACUACGGAUAAGAAUCCUGCGGACUCCGGACCCUGGACCUUUCUUUGAUGGACAGGUGACGGGGGAUUUUAGACGAACUUGAACUGAAGAUCUUUCGAGAAAAAAGAGAGGAAGCCAGAAUGAAAUAAGUUACUACUAUCUAUGACUGGCCAGCGGGCGCUACUAUAUGUAUAGAAAAAGGAUAGGAGAGAACAAGGGCAUCUCAUUGAUUCUUGAAACCAAAGAUUCAGGCGGGAUGUCAGCAGAUGAAGGGAUAGAAGAUCAAUUUGUCCCUGAAGCAACUUCUUCCUCAACUCUUCUUCUUAUAGUGGAUGUGAUGGAAGUCGGCUAUAGCAACUAAAGACUCAGCAAGCGGUUGAAUAAAUAAGUGCUUGAAGAAUGAAAUUGCUACAAGAAGUCGAAAGUCUUAGUGAGACUUACCGCGUAGUGGGCGGGAACUUCUCUUGAGUGCCUUAGACUUCGUAUCCAUGGAGGCUCCAAAAGGAAACCUUCUCUCUCUGGCUUGAAUCUCCUUCGCCUAUUUUUUGGUCCGAAGGACUGAUUAUUGAAAGGUAGAAAACUCCUACAAGAUCCAGUCCGGAGUGCCAAAGAAAGGAAAGGUCCAGGGUCCGCAGUCCGCAGUCCGCAGGAUUUAUCCGUAGUCCGGAGUCCUACGUCCGCAGGAUUUAUCCGUAGUCCGGAGUCCGGAGGAUUCUUAUCCGUAGGACUAUCCAUUAGAAGUAGGACCAUCCAUAUGGAGGGAAGUAGUCCGGAGGAUUUAUCCGUAGGACCAUCCGUAAUUAACCGAAGUAGGACCAUCCAUAUGGGCCAAAGAAAGGUCCAGGUGAUUUAUCCGUAGGACCAUCCAUAUGGAAGGAAGUAGGACCAUCCGUAAUUAACCGAAGGACUCUAAAACGGAGUGGGCCAUGAUCUUUGCUCCUUAAUAGAAAGCCGAGCCUUUAUUUGCAAUAUUCUUUGCGCCUUCCAGUCCGGAGGAUUUAUCCGUAGGACUCUAAAACGGAGGACCUGUUCAUUGACUUUAUUCCGCUCCGUCUUCUUGAAUCUCAAUUCAAACUUCCUAUAUCCUCUUAUGAUACAAAGUCCUUAACUUAAGGACUCAAAUUCUUUCUCACGCAAUAUUCUUUGUCACGCAUAUUUCAUUGCGCCUCCCCUAUCCUUGUUCAUUGAUCCUUGCCAAUAACAUCGAUCAGUCCUUUUUCUUUAUCAAGCUUAACUUCUUUGAGAGUUGCUGGCUGUGAGUCGAAAGACCUCUUUUUGGUGUGAGCUUUCUCCCAUUAUUUCUUUUCUUUCUCAGGUGGGUAUAAAUGCCUUGCCUUUCUUACUGGUCUUUCAGGCACUAUCUACAGACUAUCGAAAACAAGAAAAGGAUCUGGGCCUAGAGAAAAGAUGCCGAUGCCUUGGAAUGGAAGCAUUGAUCUCAUUUUUGCUUUGACUUUGUGGGGUUCAGGGAUUGAGUUAGGAAGCCAUGACGAAUCCGUCGGCAGUGUCUUCAACCUAUGAGAAGGUUGGUCUCAGAAUUCGAGAGAGAGAUUAGUGCUUAGUGCGCAGCAGGAUACUUGACGGAUGUGGCCAAGUCUUUUUCAAGUGCAGACGGAGGCCUCUUCGCUGGCCUUCUUUUUGAUGAUAAAGAAAUGCUUUAGUGAAGGACUAGAAGGCGCGCUUUAUAAGGCUCCAAAGACCAAUGCUGAAUCUUGUCAAUCCACUUCAAACCUGUGAGUCUUUAGGGGAAAAUAAAUAGGUAAGACUUGGAAUUAGCCAAAGUCAAAGUAUGAGUAGGAAGCAAUGCAUUCAAUGAAAUUCAUCCAUCUGCCAUAGCCCCAACUGGGGAUGCCUAAUAUCAAUCUAGAAAGAGAAAAAGAAGUGAGUUCAGUUUCAGGCACAGACCGUGAAGAAUGAACUUUGCCUCCGCACUCGCCUUCCUUCUAAGGAUCGAACUUACGUCUGAGCUCCUAAGGAUGCCUCAUCUUCCUUCCUCUCUUCCUAGCAGUGAGGUAAAGGCUCUUUCUCGAGAAAAAAUAAAGGCCCCUUGAACUCAUUUUUCUUGAUCCCAACUCAUUUGUCAGAAUAAAAGGCGGUUAUUUGACUAAAGAAUCCAUUUUGAUGAUAAAUACUGGCAUAAAAAGAAUACAAUAAGAGUGAGAACGCAAUAUUAUGUGCACCUUGAUUCAGAGUUUUUCUCAUUGUGCACAUUGAAUAACCCCCGUAUCCCCUUAAUCAGGCUGAUUAUUGCAGACUUUGGAGCCCUAGGCUUUUUAAUUAGUGGAAUAAGACUGAAAUAGUGGUCCUACGUCCGGAGUCCGCAGUGCCAAAGAAAGGUCCAGGGUCCGGAGUCCGCAGUCCGCAGGAUUUAUCCGGAGGACCAUCAAAGAAAGGUCCAGGUGAUUUAUCCGUAGGACCAUCCAUAUGGAAGGAAGUAGUCCGGAGGAUUUAUCCGUAGGACCAUCCGUAAUUAACAGAAGUAGGACUAUCCGUAAUUAACCGAAGUAGUCCGGAGGACUUUCCGUAAUUAACCGAACUUUGCGCCUGGACCUUUCUUUUUGGAGCCCUCGAAACUGAUAAUGGGGAUGAAUAGUCACCUGGACCUUUCUUUGAGAAAUUCAUGGAUAGGGCUCUGAGGCUACGUGGGCCCUUGUUCAUUGAUUCUCAUUCCACUGAGACUUAUCGUUAAUGAGCUGCUGCUAAGCUAAACCUUCAGAAAGCCCUAAUCCUUCUGAUGAAAGACCAAAAAUUCCGAUCGAGGAGACUAGUGCUUUAGCUCUUGUCUCUGCCACAGCUCCCAACUAAGCUUCAACGGAAAGUCAAUGAACAAGGUCCCCUAUCCAGAGUAAAUGGCCUAACCUCUUCUUCUUCCUUAGCUGUCGAGCUACUCUCGCUAUUUCAUCCCUUCUAUUCGUUCAUCAUAUAGAAUAUUCAUAAUCGCACAGAAGAGCAGCUGAGCACCUA